ACCUUCUUUCUUCACUCACUAUUUUCAUAAUAAAUUCAAAACACUUGAUUCAACGUCAAGUUCCUUUUUCAAAACCAUUUUCAUAACAAAUUGGAAUGCAAAUGGGGUAUACGUGAUAACAAUAUACAAAAUUCAGCAAAACAAGAACCCUAAUAACACUAUCAAUCUUCUCAUUUCUUGAUAACAAUAUACAAAAUUCAGCAAAACAAGAACACUAAUAACACUAUCAAUCUUCUCAUUUCUUGAUAACAAUAUACAAAAUUNNN
rnacentral:lncRNA from 1 species